rnacentral:rRNA from 1 species
UACGGAGGGUGCAAGCGUUAUCCGGAUUCACUGGGUUUAAAGGGUGCGUAGGAGGGUCUGUAAGUCAGCGGUGAAAUCUCCGAGCUUAACUCGGAAACUGCCAUUGAUACUAUAGAUCUUGAAUACCGUGGAGGUGAGCGGAAUAUGUCAUGUAGCGGUGAAAUGCUUAGAUAUGCCAUAGAACACCAAUUGCGAAGGCAGCUCACUACACGCAUAUUGACUCUGAGGCACGAAAGCGUGGGGAUCAAACAGG